UUUAAGAACUUUUGAUCAGCGACGUCCGUAGAUGAGUUUCAGGUCGAUUGGCAAGACCAUCUGGGAAGAGUUCGCAAAAAUAGAUUUUAGAGAAAAGUGAUAAAAAGUCACCAGACCACUGGAGCAAAGAUGCAUGAGAAUCCAGAGAUGAAAAUAAUGAAAGACGUUGACUCUAAACAAAGCUGUUUUCAAGAUAAUUGCAAAAAUGUAAAGUUGAUUGUUGUAGCACCACCAUGAGGUUUUUUGCCUGAGUAGUUGGUGGAAUUUGUAACCUACGUGCCAAUUUUGAUGAGUUUUCGUCCAGCAGUUUUUGCUGCCAAAACAGAAAAAGAUGAAAGAAAGAAAGAAGAAGAAUCAGAACAAAAACAAAAGCCAAUUCAUCAUCAGACAAUAGCCCAUGGGUUCACAGAUUGCAUUUGGGCUGAUGCGUUCCACCUCUUUUGCUCUUCACACAACCCACCGAGAUGGUGGGGUUGUCUGACAGGAAGGAUAGGCAGAGUUGCGUAUCGUCUGCAUAGCAGUGGUAAGAGAAGCUACUAUAAAUGGACUACAAGUGGAAACUAGAAUACUUCCAAUAGCUGAUGGACUGAUGGUGUGUGAUGUGAUGUCUGUCCAUGUGUUUGAUCAGAUCCAACAGGUCUUCUCAUCAAAGUGGUCGUCCUGCCGCUGACUCUGCUGUUGGUGAUCGCUGCCCUUUGUUUCUACCGUAAGGCCAGCAGGGGGCAGAAGCCGGGCAGGCAGGAGGACAUCGAGCUGGAUUAUUAUAGCCCGGGUGUUUCUGCAGCUGAAGGAGGGCCGACUGAAGAGGAAGGAGCUCAGGGAGCAGAGUAGGACCUCCAAGGAGCUCAUCUCAGCUGCCUCACAACCCACCAUCAGCUCAGUCCAGGAUUUUACUCUUUUAUACUGAUGUUCCCUUUAAACAAUACAGCUGGAAUUAUUAGAUUACAUUAGACACUAUUUUUAUUAUUCUCAACAAGAAAAGAGCAAAACCAACAGUGUGUUAGGCUUUUCAGACUUCUUGUCUGUGGCUCUCAGCUCCAAGCCCAUUGGAAGACUAUGCCUUUGGUGUGAGAGACUCGGGUUCAAUCCCCCACUGUGACCCAUCCGCCAUUGUGUCCCUGAGCAAAACACUUAACCCCUCGUUGUUCCAGAGGCGUGCGACCUCUGACAUGUAUAGCAAUUGUAAAGCGUCAGCUAAAUGUAAAUGGUUCCUAUUGAAGACGUCACUCUUUAAAAAGUCCUCAUAAAUAUAUAGUUUCAUUAUAAAACUAAGUAUCGGGGUCCAAACACCCGGCACAAUUCAGAAGCAAAGCCGCGCCGACCCAGGCUGAUCUGGAAGUCCUUCUGGAACUAUGUUGGCCGAGUCCUGUUCUAUAUUAAAUUCAAAUAAAAGUGAAGCGUCGUAAAAACCUUGUCUUUGUUCUAUUAUUGUGUGGUGUCAGUGCAUUACAUCUGUUUGUUUGGACAAAAUAAAGUCAUCUUCAAUCCUCCCGUGUCUUGUCCGCUGUGAUGGAAAUGUGAUAUUUUACUGGGGUUUACUGUUUUACCUUUUUAUGCUGCAUUAUAUCUGACCAUCCUUGAUAGGCCUUCAUCUCAGUUGGUUCCUACUCCCAGACUGGUUGCUCUCUGUACGUUUGUCUGACCUUUUGCAAAGAAUAAAAGACUUUCAAAGAC